GCGUAUCGCAAACAGUGCAGACACGUUACGGGAUGCCAUCGUUUAUCUUCCUAUUGGAGUAUUGACUGGCAGUCCAUCGCAUAGAUAACUGCGCAUAUUCUGGCGAAGGCUAUCGUUUGGAAGGAAAUUCCUCGUUUAUGUUCGUCACGGCAAAUUACCUGCGUGGCAGCAUAAAGCGCGGUUGAUCGAUAGCGAGAAAGAGGGUGGGGGCUUUGUAGGCAUGUUUCCAUAGUUGUUACUGUGACAAAGAAUUACAGGACGGUUACGACUCGUGUAACGCGAAAUUCAGCGUCAGCUGUGCGUGUGGUGAAAUGAAGCGGGAUGAAAGUAUGUAGGCAAAUUUAUUUAAGCGUGGCUUCACUAACUUAUUUUUUGUUGUUGUUGUGGUUGCUGAAAUGGUUGGCGAGGUGAAUGGUGUCCUGAACGAGGGGCUGUUUUGGAACACCAAGUCUAUGCAUGCGCCAUGUCUAGCUGUGGAUUGGCGGAUGGCGGUGCACAGCGUGAGGUCAAGUUGUUGUUGGGGCUUCGCGGAAAGACCACUCUAGUGCACUUCUCAUAUACAGUGCACCUCUGUUUCAUCAGUAUCGUUCAUCUUGCCUACGCCUCACUUUGAAAUCGUCAACUCUCGUCUCCCCCUUUUUUUUCUUUUUCUUUUGCUAUAGUCGUGACGAUGCCCACUUCAGUGCGGCCAACAACGGCAAGCUACUUCGACCCCCUCCCCCCUCCAGUUGUUGGGACAUAUCACUUAGGAAAGUGGUGUUCUUGGCCAGUGAAACGUCCACAUUGAAGUCUGCGACGACGAGAAGGAUGUGCGUGCGGUAAGGCGCGAGUACAUACAAGUUGCGGAUGCGUUCCGGCGAUGCGCGAGGCGAGAAGUAGCUGACACAGCCACCACAAUCCCCGUGGGAAGCUGCAUGGCGCAAAUUCCUGCGAAGUAAUUUCCAGGAAGGGUAGCUUCAGGUGGUGUAGCCAGUACUCCGGCACGCAGGUAAAUGGCAACUCCGGCCGCUCUGUUGCCCUUGGCACUGCGACGCGAUCCGCAGAAGCACUUGAAGUGCGCAUCUCACUUUCCAUCGAUAUAGCGGUUGUAAACUGGCGGGAUUCUCCUCCUUACUCCCAGCGCUAAGCGCACAUGCGAUAAGAGUUUUGUGCGGAUAUUUGAAUUGCCGACGACGACGACUCGAUCUCAGGCCGCGGUGCGGGAUUCGAAACUGCAACUGUGCUACAAUUGCUGCAAUUCUUACUCAGGUGUCAACAUGGGCAUUUCAUAUACACAUGCUUGGAGGGCUGUGAGGAGGCCUUCAUCUCGACUUAUAUAGACAUUAGCGUUUUGGGGACAAAUAUAUUACAGCGUCAGCUGUAUAGUCACUUUCCCGAUAUCGCGUUAGCGCCGUCGGCAUUCGCAUGUCCGCACAAAACUCUUAUCGCAUGUGCGCUUAGCGCUGGGAGGAAGGAGGAGAAUCCCGCCAGUUUACAACCGCUAUCGAUGGAAGCCGAGAUAAAAACCCAGCGCGCUUCAAGUGCUGCUGCGGGACGCGUCGCAGUGGCAAGGGCAACCGAGCGGCCGGAGUUGCCAUUUGUCGGCGUGACGGAGUACUGGCGACACCACUUGAAGUCAACCUUCCUGGAGACGACGUCGGAGAAAUUUCUGCCGUGCAGCUUCCCACAGGGCUCGUGGUGGCUGUACGCUCCUUCUCGCCUCGCGCCGCGCUGGAACGCAUCCGCGACUUUGUGGUGUAUGUAUUCGCGCCUUACCGUGCGCACAACCAACCGCCGUUUAACUGGCCAAGAACACCACUUUCCUAAGUGAUAUGUUCGAACAACUGGACCUUACGCUGUGCACCGACAUCCGCCAAUCCACAACUAGACAUGGCUCAUGCAUAGUCUUGGUGUUCGAGAACAGCCCUCUCGUUCAGCGACCACAAAUCAAUACUCAUCAUGCUUAAAUAAAUUUGUCUACGCACUUUCA